rnacentral:pre_miRNA from 1 species
UUGACAGAAGAGAGAGAGCACAACCCAGCAUAAGCUAAAGAAAAGCCUUUGCAUGUGUUGGGAGUGUGCUUUCUCUUCUUCUGUCAA